UACGGAGGGUGCAAGCGUUAUCCGGAUUCACUGGGUUUAAAGGGUGCGUAGGUGGGCAGGUAAGUCAGUGGUGAAAUCUCCGGGCUUAACCCGGAAACUGCCAUUGAUACUAUCUGUCUUGAAUAUCCUGGAGGUGAGCGGAAUAUGUCAUGUAGCGGUGAAAUGCUUAGAUAUGACAUAGAACACCCAUUGCGAAGGCAGCUCACUACGGGAUGAUUGACACUGAGGCACGAAAGCGUGGGGAUCAAACAGG
rnacentral:rRNA from 1 species